rnacentral:rRNA from 1 species
AUUUAACGAGAGUUUGAUCCUGGCUCAGGAUGAACGCUGGCGGCGUGCUUAACACAUGCAAGUCGAGCGAAGCGCUUUGGA